rnacentral:rRNA from 1 species
UAAUGACUCUCGGCAACGGAUAUCUCGGCUCUUGCAUCGAUGAAGAACGUAGCGAAAUGCGAUACUUGGUGUGAAUUGCAGAAUCCCGUGAACCAUCGAGUCUUUGAACGCAAGUUGCGCCCNGAAUGGGUGUCAUAC